GUCCCAGCGGGCAGAGAAAGCCAUUACCUGCCCUGGGGAGAAAGACAGUCUUGCCAGGUUGGCCGCCACCUCAGUAGAGACUUCUUCGUGGUUACCUGGCGUGCUCUGCCAGAUAGAGACUUCCUCUAAGCGGUAGUGACCUGUCGGGGACGUGGUGAAUGUGUAACCAGGAGUCCGCAACCCCAGGAGUCCGCAACCCCAGGAGUCCGACUGGAGGCCAACCCUAGGAGAAGUUUCUAAAAGCCUAGGUGCAUUGGAGAUUCAUCUAAGGGAAAUGAAAGGAGAAGGAUUUCUUCCAAAAUAGGUCCUGCCCACACCUCCUCAGGUGCUGAUGAUCAGUGGCAUGUGCUUCCCAUUCCUCAGGAAUAAAACCAGGGCAUAUAAAACCCAAGGCCCCAUUAACCCUGUGCAGAGGCGAUCAAUGGAAGCUGGAAAGAUGUGUGUCUUUUCCUGUACAAAAUAUGGCUCAGGAAAAAGCGAAGCCACUGGUUGCCCUGAAGCUGAAGAGAUGCUUCACCUGGUUAGACCUGAGAAGACGCCCCUGGCUCACCCCAGCCUGAGAAUGAGUCCCAGGUUCUCCGAGAGGCAGAUGGGGGCUGGGGCAUGUUUCCUUUCUAGAUCAGCCUCUGGAGUCCAGAUGUGCCUGUCCAGUCCUUUGCAAAGACUUUUCCAGGAUGAUUAUCUUAAAGAUGUUUGCUGCAGUCAAGCAGGUCCUGUCCCAUAGCUCAACAGCAAGUCACCCACACUGGGCGAGGUUCGAGGGCCAGGAAGCAUGGGGCUGGAGGCCCAGCCAGCUCGGCAGUCACUUGGUCUGGACAAGGCAGGGCUGCGUGCUGCUGCCAGCUGUGAAUGACAGCAGUGUCUGGGGGACUUUUUGAUCCUUGAGGGAGCUACCCUCUAACUGAAGGAGAAAAGUCACUGUAGUGGUAAAGAUAGGAAGCAGGUCCAGUGCGAUUGGCAGUUACAGGCAUUGCAUGGUGCCGGGAGGAGGAAAGAUGAGAGAAGUGGGGGAGUGGGGGAAGGCUGGCUCAGCUCUUCUGCUAAGAAAGAGACUUUGGACCAAUCCUGUCUCAAUUUUCACUGUUCUCUUUCCCAGGCGCUAAUGCCAACGUCCAAUGUACAUAUCAGCUCAAGUCUGACUCAUUGAGCAGAUGAAUUUGCUGAACAGUUCUGAGGCUGUUCAGCUCGCCUUGCAGAGUUAGCCAGGGGUGGGCCUUGCUGGGGUCCAACUUCUCAGAAGGUGCCGCUAGUGGGUGGCUCUUAGUCUGGGAUGACAUUUAACCUCACAACAUGCCUGGGGAACAAGUGUUAAGGGCGUGGACCCUGGGGGCAGGCUGUGUGGAGCCUUCCCAGCAUGGGAGCUGGUGAAGUGGGGGUGGAGGUGGGGCCUAUGGAGGCGGCACAGGCUUUGGAACAACAGAGCAGAACAUGUGGGCUUUUCUUGGGCGAGCUGUCACUCGGGUGGCAAUCUGUGUGUUCUAUUAUAUAGUUUGAUGUCUUGUUAGAAUAGGAAGAUUUCAAAAUUAGCAUCAACAUUUGAGAAGAAAUAAGUCUCCUCCUUAUGCUGCUUAGCUCAAGUGGCACUGAAAACGGCAGAGCUCAGCCCCAGAAUGUUCUCCCCUCCCCCAUGCCCAUCCAGCACUGCUGGCAGACGUCCUUCUCUGCAGAGGCCUGAUUUCUGCCUUCAUGGCUCCACAGGCCCCUCAGGAGUUGCUCUGCAGCCACCUGCCCUCCCUAACUCACCUGGCUGGGCAGUGGCAUCAGGGAAGGUGAGGGCUGGUCUCCUCUUCCUCAGUCUCAGCUCUUCUCCACUGGAAUGGGGGACCAGGCCUGGGUGCCUGCUGAUGGGACCACACCAAUACUCUGGGAAGCCCCACCACACCUUCCCUUGGCCCAAACUUGGAAAUAGAUGUCAUUGACUGCCACCUCAAGGCUUCCAUGGGCCCCUCAGGUGGACUCCGGGUCAAGGCAGGCACAGGUUUACGGACCACUCUUGCUGGCAGGAUUCUGUUUCUGAUGUGUUCACCGUGAUCUCUGGAACAUGUCCAUGACCGUAUUCUGGGGACCUAGGUCUCUGGGUAUGUUAUGGUGCCCAUAUGAGACCUUGACCUUUUAUCAGUAAACUGAAAAACCUCCUGCCUCUCAACCAAGUUGAUGAUACUUUUCUUUCCUUCCUUCCUUCCUUUCUUUUUCUUUUCUUCCUUCCUUCCUUCCUGACUUUCUGUCUUUUGUCUUUUUAGGGCUGCACUCUCGGCACAUGGAGGUUCCUUGGCUAGGGGUCUAAUCAGAGCUGUAGCUGCUGGCCUACACUACAGCCAUAGCAAUGCCAGGUUGCCGUGUCUGAGACCUAUACCACAGCUCACAGCAACACUGGAUUAUCAACCCACUGAGUGAGGCCAGGGAUCUAACCCCCGACCUCAUGGUUCCUAGUCAGGUUUGUUUCCACUGUGCCACGAUGGGAACUCCAAUGAUACUCUUCUGGCUCACAAAAGCCCGUGUGGUGAGAGUAAAUUCUCUUACAAAGGGGACUGCAGGGACUAUUAUCAGACGGGCUUUUCCUGCCCCCUAGGGAAAUACCCAUUGAAGCAGGUGAUCUAGUCUUGAAAGUUAUUGACUAGUCCAAACUGUAUAAGAAUUUAUUCUUGGAGUUCCUGCUGCAGUACAGCUGGUUAAGGAGCUUCCAUUGUCUCUGUAUCGGGUCGGGUUGCUUCUGAGGCUCUGCUUUGAUCCCUGUCUGGCACAGUGGGGUUGCAGCUGUGGUUCAGAUUUGAUCCCUAGUUGGGGAACUUCCAUAUACCACCAGUAUAGCCAAAAAAAAAUUUUUUUUAAUUCUUAAAAUGCCUGCAUCCUUAGAUUUUGACUUUUGUGCAGUCAGUGCAACAAAUUCAGGGCUCUAGAGCUGAGCAGCAGAUUGCAGUGGCAUUUUUCCAACUCUCCAUGUAAAUUCUGACUCUGUAGGCCUGGUUGGCCUGAUUUGAGGUUACCAGUAAGUUCCCAGGUGAUGCAGGAGUGCUGAGGGGAUCUGUGGUGGUUAGUUUUAUGUCAGCAUAGCUGGGCUACUAUAUCCAGACACUUGGUCAAACUCUAUUCUAGAUGUUUCUUUGAAGCUAUUUUUUGAUGAAAUUCACAUUUAAAUCAGGACUAAGUAGAGCAGAUGACCCUCCAUGUGUGGGUGGGUCUCGUCCAAUCAGGUGACGGCCUUAGGAGAACAAAGACUGACUUCCCCGGGAGAAGAGGGAAUUCUGUCCACAGACGUUUAUGGUCAUGAACUGCAGCUCUUCCCUAGGUCUCCUGCUGCUGGACCUGCCCACAGACUGGAUUUACCAAGCUUCAGCAAUCUUCUGAGCCAAUUCCUUAAAAUCAAUCUAUCUCUCUCUCUCUCUCUCUCACACACACACACACACACACACACACACAAACACACACACACUGCCCACCUCAGUUCUGCUUCCUGCUUCUCUGGACAGCCCUGACAACUGCAAGACCACACUCCCCGUGGUGAGGGUGUUAAGAAAUGUGUUUCCCAAAGAGAUCUGCAGUCCUGUGUUCAAACCCUGGCUCUUCUCCUUACUGUGAGAUUUUGGACACACUGUCCCAAAUCUGCUUCAUUCCCUGUAAAAUGGAAGUUGCAACUUUGGCCCAGGGCCUGGCACUUAGGAAGCCCUUAAUAAAUCGGAACCGCAACCUUCAUCCACCCAUGAUGAUUAUCACCAUGGAGAAACUAAGAAGUCUUGCCUUUUCUGCCUUUAGGAAAUCUUAUCUCCACUCCCUCUAAGCAGUGAGAACCUCACUUUUUCUUAGAAGUCUCAAGGAAAUGAGACUGUACAAGCCUUUCCCAGAAAUCCAGCAUCCCCAGACUAAAUUAAACCCCUCCCUUCCUGCCACGUGUGAGUCUCCUGGCCUGUCUGCUGGGUCCUGGAGGCCCUGGUCCCCCACCACCCCUACCGCCUGGCAGGAAGGAGAAAGCAGACUGGUUUCCAGUCGGGAUGUGCUCCUUCCCUGAGGAAAGGGUCAACUUUCCCCUCUUGUUUUCAUUGGCGUCAAUCUGUUUAUUAUCAAUGCAGUUCUCUGGAGAAAGACCAGAAGAACAAUUUCCUAUCUGAGGAGCAGGGAGUGUGAACUCUCUCCACACUGCUGUCUUCAGGACUAACUUAGACCUCCUGGCUCCUUCCGCCUCCUGGCCAGGCAGACACCCCGACUUAGUGCCAGGUGUAGAGACCCUGGCUUGUAUCAGGAAAAGGUUAUAUAGGACCAGGGGCACUCUAGGAUUUUCAUAGGCAUUUGUUUGGGGGUGGGGUGCUAGAAUCAUCUGCUGCAGCCACAGCUGUGUUUGAAAGCACCCUGGUUUUACUUAGAUGCCAAAUUAAAGAGCACGAAGGGGGCCACAUCCAGCCCACCGCCUGCCUUUGUAAAUAACAUUUUAUUGGAACACAGCCCCAGCGUGCAUUCAUUCACCUACAGCUGUGAUGCUUCUGUGUCCUAGGGGGCAGAUGACCUGCCCAAGCUUGGAAACCCUCUGUCUCACCCUUGACUGCUGACCCCUGAUGAUGACAGCAGUUUUCCAGAGAUGCUUCAUUUAUGACAAUGUUUACAGAAGAGUGACAGCACACCCUUUGCUCAUUUCCAAUGCUAACAUUUUUAUCUGGGAAUGUCUUGGGGGAUGGGGCAAUGAGGACCCUUGAGAGGGAGGGACACACAAUCUGCCCAUGCAAGUUAACCAUGGGGCUGCUCCCCCUCUUCUCUCCCCCCACCCCCCGCCAGGUCCUGACUCUCAGAUGCCAGCGCUCAAGUCCUGGGUCCUGCUUUGUGUUCAGGUUCUGGCCUCUGCCCAGAGCUCUUUACUCUUCCUCUGAGCAGUUUCUCAGCGUUUUCAGGUUCUGGCACCCCUAGAAAAGGAGGCCCCCAGAACUGAGCCCCAGCCUUUGUGCCCAAAGUCCACCAUCAGCUGGAAACCAGCACCCCCAAGGGGCCCGGGUGGGCUUCUCCUGUGGAUGGAGAGAGUCUGGAUCUGUGAAUCCAGGGGUCACACUCCCUGCUCUAGGAUGGGACCUGCUGGACCUGGAGCCCCAACACUGGCCAAUGGCUUGCUUGGAGGAGAACUGAGUGCUCUAUGUCUGGGCAAACUCUCAGCGUUUUCUCUUAUGAUUCGUUUAAGCCAACCUAGAGACGGGUUGCUCAACCUCACAGCCUGGCUGGCGGGGGCACUGCCCCUUCCUGGUGGUGUGCAGGUAAAAGCUGCUCCCCAGGAGUGGUCCUGCAGGGGUCUGCUCUGGCCCUGGGGUCAUCCUCCCAUGUGCAGGUGAAGGAAGAGUUGGGGCUGCUCCAGGGAGGGUGCAGAAAGUGGGGUCCGUGUAUCUGGCUUCUGCAGCAAGUGCUGGGCCUGAAGCCUCGCUCUGCUGCUGCUCUGCUGUGGGUCUUGGACUUGGGUCCCUGAAACCUCUCUGGGCCUCUCUCUCCCUGAUGAGGGCAGAAGGGGCCACGAGGUGGGGCUGGAAGCUGCCAGCGCCUUUCUGACUUCCACCUCAAGCCCAGGAGCCCUGGGCGCACCACUUUCACCACCAGCUGCAACUGAAAAUGAACACAGCACUGAACACUGUGUUUAUGAAUAUCUAAAGCAUUCAGAAGUUUUUCUCAAGACGCUUAUGUCAAAAAAUGUUUCAAUGGGAUCAUGAAAGUCUUAAAAAAAAAUGUCCUUAUGUUGAUGCUACCCUAAGUAUGUUCUCAGCUUUUCUACUGGGGACCCAGGCUGGGGUUACAUGUUUGGGAAAAUGGGCUUUUUUCUGUUUUCCCACCUGGGUUUUUCUAUUUCU
ensembl:lncRNA